GUUGUGAAAUUUUUAAUGUACUCGCAAGCGCACGAAUCUAGAGAUAGAAUAGUGGUAACGAGAUCGAUCCCACAGGGAUUGUUAUAAAUUGAAAAGUCUAAUUUAAAUCUAAAAUUAAUAUUAAUUCUAACCUAGUUGAGCAAAUUGAGUUUUUAAGAAAAUUAAACCAAUUAAACUAAGGAAGCAAUUAAAAUAAAGGAGAAUUCAAUAAGAUAAGAAUUACCAAGGUUUCAGAAUCCACCACUAUUCAACUAGUAAUUAUCUAAUUAUUAAUUAAUCCCCAAUUUUAGAGUGACAACUCGAAAUCAA
rnacentral:lncRNA from 1 species